UACAGAGGGGGCAAGCGUUGUUCGGAAUUACUGGGCGUAAAGGGCGCGUAGGCGGCCUGCUAAGUCGAACGUGAAAUCCCUGGGCUCAACCCAGGAACUGCGUCCGAUACUGGUUGGCUUGAAUCCGGGAGAGGGAUGUGGAAUUCCAGGUGCAGCGGUGAAAUGCGUAGAUAUCAAGAGGAACACCUGCGGCGAAGGCGGGUUGCUGGGCCGACACUGACGCUGAGGCGCGAAAGCGAGGGGAGCGAACGGG
rnacentral:rRNA from 1 species